GGGGAUUCAGCUCAGUGGCACAGUACCUGCCUGGCAAGCAUGAAGUUCUGAGUUCGAUUCCCAGUACCCCCC
rfam:Cavia porcellus supercont2_190 genomic scaffold, whole genome shotgun sequence.